UCGUUGCGUGCUCCGCGGAUAUAUAUCGUGCUGGUUGUUGUUCCUGUCGCUCGUUGUCGUGCGACGGCGUUGAUGCGCCGCAGAAACGCGGCCGCCAAUGUCAAUCGACGGGAGCGCGGAACGUCGGGCAGUGCAUUUUUGUGGGUACGCGAUCGGUUUUCUCGUUAAGAAAGUAAUGAGCGUGCCGAGGCGAAAUACCGUAAUGCGAGGCGGCGGAUUGCCCGAGGCGGGACGAUAUGUCAAUCAAUCUUGUACAAAGAUAUACUUGACGGCAGUCUUGAAAACUUGUCGCAACAUAUUGGAAUAAAUGUGUGACCAUUGGCUUUCUCGAUUGGCGAUUAGUGCUCUCGUAACGCGACCGGAGGCUCUAAUUAUUGCAAAUUAUUGCCGGAACUCGCAACAAGUAUAAUAAACGUAUAAAGACUAUUACAUAAAACGUAUUUUCGAAACAGACAUUUAUCAUUAUCCACGUACAACAAUAUUGAGAUAAAAUGACGGGCGCCGUCGCCGAUGGGACAAAUUACGCGAAUACGGGGGAUACGGUAUAAUUUCAAUUGCGCUAAUCCUAUUCGUCAUACGUGGGGAGGAAAGGGGGAGGUCCACCAGGCCGGCCGGAAUUAAAACUGAUAAAUGGGGAGAGAAAAAUUAAUGGCGCCGAAAACACCACUUCGCCGGCAUUAAUCUUGCGCGGCAAAGUGGCAACGAGGGUUUUCCAGGGGCGCGUGCAGAAAGAAAUCGUUUCAGCUCCGUUUCUCACCGUCCGUACGUAGCGCGCAAAUCGUCAUGAGACUCUGAAACGCGAACGGAAAGGCGAUGUGAGAUCGCGUUGAUGAAUGCCCCCAUUACACGAACACCGCUAGUUACUCCUCGGAGAUAAACCGCCUUCAUUACUCACUUUCUGGCGUGACCUUAUUCCCCCCUUCCUUCCUCUUCCGCGCGCCGCGCACCUUCCCGCACCUCCGGUCCCGCGGCCGCCACCCGGUACCUAUUAAACUAAUGCGAAUUAAUAACGGCAGCUUUUUCUACUCAACGGCCGCCUUCUUGCAACAAUAACGGCGUUUUAGUACAUAAUAAAUUUGGACCUCAGGAAACGUAUAUAAUUGCCACGCGAGAGUGUGCGUAUCUCGAGACCGGGUUUAACAGAUUGGCUCAUUUAUCUUCCAACGAGGAUUCGCGCACUUAGAUAUACGUAUAUAUAUAUACUCGCGCAACGGAUUCUUGAUGGGUUUUCCGGUACGAAGUAUUCUUUUUGAAUAGUAAACGCUUGCUGAUGAUUUGUCCUGUCAAUCUUCGGUUUAUCUCUGCAAACAUUCUCUCGGCGGACUACAAAAUGAUAUACUGAACGAACGUUUCCGUCUGUCCCUAAUUUAAGGGGGGGGGGGGGUAAAAAACCUCAAUUUUACGAAGGCAGAAUUUUAUAUGCGGGAUAAAUUUAAUUUCUUUCAUCAAAACGUGUACAUUUUCAAAUCGUGUAUCAAUUUUACGGAAUACUUUGCAGAUACAACACAUAUUUGUCAAUACUGUGCGGAUAAAUGCCACGCAAUCACAUUUAAUGAGUCACGUUACGCCCUUAAUGAAACCAGCAUACGCUUAAUUGGAAAUUAAAUUAACGAGCAUUACGCGCGAAUCAAACGGAAUGAAGUAAAUUCGCUUAAAAGCGAAAUCAUAAUAUAUGUCCUGUUCAGUGCCGACGCGGAUUACGAUAUAUCAGAGUUGUCAUCUUUCAACUUGAAUAUAACUUCGUGCGAUUUGCGCAAGGUGGAUAAAUAAUAUUUCUCGUGCCAUUAUCUAUUACCACAUAUUAAGUGAUUUAAGAAAGCUAUUUAUUAAAUGCAAAAUUGAUCUUAAAAUUGCGAGUUGUGCCUCGUGCUAAUAUUAUUUAGACGUAAAAAAAAAAAAACACGUGCGAUUUAUAUCCCUGUUAAAAUACUGCAGAUUUUACAUAUAUAUAAAAUUGUAAAAUCUCGUCUCACGUGAUUUUGAAAAGAUUUUGUUAAAGAUUUUUACACGCAGUGCCUCUCGCCCCGUGCUACCCGUCGUCUACGUCACUGGACAAAUCCGAUAUUCCAGUCACGCCCGCGAAAAACAAAACACGAGAGAGAAUACGUUUCCCGCAUAUGCGUCUCGCGUUGUGCUCGUUGGAUUCAUUUUGGCCGGGGACAUUCCGCUGUCAGCGCGGCGUUAUCGCGCAUCGCCGGGCAGUAAAACGUUUCGGCCGUAUACGCCGAUAAACCAUGAAUCCGCAAUUUACAGGAAACGUGAGUGAUUCGCUGGUAGUGCGCCCGCACGUACCAGCCAGGCUAGGGACGUAUAAAACACCGAGGUACGCGUAUAAUAACGUGGACGCGCCGCGUUAGCCGGCGUGUUUGUUGCACCGAGGCGAAACGCGGGUGUUAUGCGCCGCGACAAUUAAAGAAAAUUGCGACGAAUACCUGUUUGUCGCAAUUGACAUCGUCGCGUCCAUCUCGUCGACUGGUCGACUGGUCCGAUGACUUAAGUAGAACGAGUUAAUUUCAUAGUGCGAGCGAGGUCGCUUAUGUCGCAAUAUCGUGACAGUGUCUCGUAAAUAAAUGCAUCAGCUCGAAACGUUAAUAUUUUUACCUCUCUUCUCCUCCUCCUCUUAUCCCUCUCGCUUCUUUCGACACGGUCAUUAAACACGACUUGGAUGGAAUAAAAUUGCCGUCGUUUCACUGAUGACAGGCGAUACGUCAUUGUAACCGUUUCACAAUGGGACAUUACUCUCCUCGGGUUCGGGACAAUAGUUAACUCUCCGCACUGCGCAAGUGUGAGCGUUAUUAUUCGCGCGUGCACGUGUGUCGAGAGACUCAACAACGAUGCCGGUAGCGAGCUACGAGACCGGAUCAUUUCAUUAUACAAACAGAGAGAGAGAGAGAGAGAGAGAGAGAGAAAGUCUAUAUUUCCCUCUGGUCGAAGUAUCGAAAACAGUUGGAUGAUCUAGACAGUCUGUAAUCAGUCAGUCUAGACAAUCCAUAGCCUUAUUUAACAAAUUGCCCUAAUAGUAAUCACUAGAUAAAAACGUGGCAGCGUUAGGAGCAAAAAAAAAUGCGAAUUGUAUCGUAACAAGUGUCGUACGCACAAACUCCGAAAUACGUGACGCGUUUGACGCAUUGUAAGCGACGAGGGGGAGGACAAGCUAUCAUAACACGUUGAAACAUCGAUAUACCUUCGGACUUAUGGAUCGAAUCGGACCCAUUUCUGCGACGUGAAGCGCAAACCAUCGUUUAAACACGGUCGCCCGUCGCGCCGCAGCGCGGCCGUUUAUAAAAUGGCUAUAUAACGGGGCGUGAAUAUUCAUUGAGUGUCAUAACGCUCAGUGAACAUCCGUCGCGCGUAAUGGAUAGUCAGUAAUGACGCCUCGUUAUGACAACGCGCUCGUGGUUGGGUGUAGGUAGAUGCCUCUGGCGAAUCUGCCAGAGGCGGCCAGGAACUGACAUUUCCGACUCGAGAGCCGGCGUAAGGUGGCGGAUAGCUGAGAGCAACUUUCAAUCAUUUCUGAAAUGUUAAUCUUUUUUUUUUUAAAUAAAAGACUCUGGAAAGGAAUCAAGUCAAAUAAAUAAUAAAAGUUUGAGCGCUUGAUCUUUCAUAAAAUAGCUACUAAACAGAAUUUUUCCAAGACAUUUCUCUCGAAGAACUAAAAGAGAAACUACAAGAUGUGCAUAUUGCGAUAUGCUAAAGAAACCUGUGCUACGCCAAUGUGCGACACGCCACGACCAAAAACCAUAAAGGACUUAUCGCCCGAUCCGAGCGUAAUCACUUUCCCGGCAGGGUUGGAAAUCGCGUACGCCGCGGAGUUUCGAGGAGGGAGGGUUGGCCGGCGAAGUAAAUCAAACUAGAAUUACCGCCUGCUUAGCAUACGGACCAAAGUCUCCCAGGAACAAGCAGCGAUGAGGGCUGGAAGAAGAGAGAAAGAGAAAGAGAGAGAGAGAGAGAGAGAGAGAGAGAGAGAGAGAGAGAGAGAGAGAGAGAGAGAGAGAGAGAGAGAAAGAGAGAAAGAGGGGACGAGCCAUGGAAGGCAACCAGAAAUAAUAUCGCCAUGAAUACAAGAGUGAGCGCCAUUACACGUAAUUGUGAUCUAUAGGUGUCAUAUAUUAUAGCGUCGACGACGUAUAAAGGGCGUUCAGGUUCGCACGCGUAAAUCCCUGUCCCCCCUGGGUCCCCCUCUUCCUGCCUCCUCACGUCACCAUUUUCCAUUGCUGUCCCUAUGUCUGCGACGCCUGCUCGUCCCUCAACCGUGAGUCGUUCUCGUCCCGCUGCUCGAAUCAUCCCCCGGUGAAAUAUUUACGAGCAUAAUCAGCCCAUAUACAAUAAAGUAACCUCCUACCCUCUUCGGGGAGGGUUAUCUCGCCCCGUACGACGCCACAUAAGUCUGCUUCGUCUAUAUCGUAAGCGUGAUAUCAUCUUCGGAUGUGGGCUCUACGGAUAAAUCGAUUGGCGCACGUCAUUCCGCAAAUCUUUCACCGAUACCAAUCUACGUUUCCCAUAUAAGACAUUACUGCCCCUUUCGCAACUAAAUUCCCCGAAACGGGACAAUCGCGUAGAAUUCUUUCUCUUUCUCUCUCUCUCGCUCUUUUGAAGUUCGCAAACGUAAGAGAAUUUGUUUCGUUAACGCGUCUUAGGGAGUCAGGGAAAACGAAAUCAAUCAUUUCCACGACGUGCCCGCUUCGCGUCUUCGACUGUGCCCCGGCGAUAUUUUGACAGCUCAAAAAUAGCGCGACGACGUCGAAACUGAACGAGACGGCGCGCUCUUCUGUUCCGUUCCCCCUCGCAGAGCCGAGGACGAUAUUACGCAUCGCGGUGAUGUAUCGUCCCCGCUGUUCGAGGUGCGUCACGGUACGUUACGCUCGGACCGCUCGCCGAGAAUAAAAUCAUUGUUGGUAAGUGAUUAAUGACUGCGUUAUAAGAGACCGACCGAGCGCAGUUCCUCGCCAUAAACUUCGCGACACUUUCGCGCUGUUCACGUGACCGACAACAUUUCCGAAGACGGGGGCUGCAUUUGUCUCUGCUUCGAAAACGUUGACCCGAAUACGAGCAACGUGAAUAAAAUUUCCAAAGAUCGAUGCGCAAGACAAUUUUUUGAUAAUUAAAACUCUUGCUUACGAAUAUAUUGUUUUAUAUCCUCGCACAUUUGUUACUCUCGAAAAAAAAGUAUAAUUUAUCUCUC